rnacentral:rRNA from 1 species
AUGUGGACAGAUGAGCUUAAGGUUACUGUUUAUAGCGCGUCGUUUCACUCCAUCCUAGCUAACGUUGUUCAUGUAGCUUCAGGUGUACAGUUUUGUCUUGUGUGUAUCUAUGGAGAUCCUUAUCAUUGUCAAACUAGUACUAUAUGGAAUCAGGUUGCCUCUUUUGUGUAUGAUAACUUAGGAAAGCCAAUGAUCUGUAUGGGUGAUAUGAAUGACAUCAUGUAUGAUAUGGACAAGUGCGAUGAUAAUGUUAAUUAGUAUAGGAUGUCUGCUUUUUGUGCUUUAAUUAAAAAUUGUGGCUUCUUUGACAUUGGCUAUAGCGGUCCGGCCUACACUUGGCGCAAUAGGCAACACACUGCAAAUCCUAUUUAUCAAUGUUUAGAUCGAUGUUUGGUUAAUCCGGAUUGGUGUGCUUGCUAUCCAAAUACGAAAGUGCUUAAUUUACCUAUCAUUCUUAGUGAUCACGCGCCUAUCUUGAUUUCCACUGAGGGCCGAUUUUAUAAACCUAAGCAAUCCUUUAAAUUGAGAAUUGGUGGCUGCUUGAGAAAAAUUUCCAUGCUCAUGCUAAGGCAGCCCGGAAUAGUACCAGGUCAGCCUCUUUUUCUGCCAGGACUUACUCUCUUGCAGGAUCAUUAA